rnacentral:snRNA from 1 species
GGAUUUGAGUUUGUGUCCGAAG